rnacentral:rRNA from 1 species
UAGGGAAUCUUCGGCAAUGGACGAAAGUCUGACCGAGCAACGCCGCGUGAGUGAAGAAGGUUUUCGGAUCGUAAAACUCUGUUGUUAGAGAAGAACAAGGACGUUAGUAACUGAACGUCCCCUGACGGUAUCUAACCAGAAAGCCACGCCUAACUACGUGCCAGCAGCCGCGGUAAUACGUAGGUGGCAAGCGUUGUCCGGAUUUAUUGGGCGUAAAGCGAGCGCAGGCGGUUUCUUAAGUCUGAUGUGAAAGCCCCCGGCUCAACCGGGGAGGGUCAUUGGAAACUGGGAGACUUGAGUGCAGAAGAGGAGAGUGGAAUUCCAUGUGUGGCGGUGAAAUGCGUAGAUAUAUGGAGGAACACCAGUGGCGAAGGCGGCUCUCUGGUCUGUAACUGACGCUGAGGCACGAAAGCGUGGGGAGCAAACAGG